CCUACGGGAGGCAGCAGUGGGGAAUUUUGGACAAUGGGCGCAAGCCUGAUCCAGCCAUGCCGCGUGUGGGAAGAAGGCCUUCGGGUUGUAAACCACUUUUGUCAGGGAAGAAACGGUCUGAACUAAUACUUUGGACUAAUGACGGUACCUGAAGAAUAAGCACCGGCUAACUACGUGCCAGCAGCCGCGGUAAUACGUAGGGUGCAAGCGUUAAUCGGAAUUACUGGGCGUAAAGCGUGCGCAGGCGGCUUUGCAAGACAGAUGUGAAAUCCCCGGGCUCAACCUGGGAACUGCAUUUGUGACUGCAUGGCUAGAGUACGGUAGAGGGGGAUGGAAUUCCGCGUGUAGCAGUGAAAUGCGUAGAUAUGCGGAGGAACACCGAUGGCGAAGGCAAUCCCCUGGACCUGUACUGACGCUCAUGCACGAAAGCGUGGGGAGCAAACAGGAUUAGAUACCCUGGUAGUCCACGCCCUAAACGAUGUCAACUGGUUGUUGGGAGGGUUUCUUCUCAGUAACGAAGCUAACGCGUGAAGUUGACCGCCUGGGGAGUACGGCCGCAAGGUUGAAACGUUAAAGGAAUUGACGG
rnacentral:rRNA from 1 species